CCCAGACUCCUACGGGAGGCAGCAGUGGGGAAUAUUGCACAAUGGGGGGAACCCUGAUGCAGCAACGCCGCGUGGGUGAAGAAGUACUUCGGUAUGUAAAGCCCUGUCAGCAGGGAAGAAAAUGACGGUACCUGACUAAGAAGCCCCGGCUAACUACGUGCCAGCAGCCGCGGUAAUACGUAGGGGGCAAGCGUUGUCCGGAUUUACUGGGUGUAAAGGGCGUGCAGCCGGGAGGACAAGUCAGAUGUGAAAUCCCGCGGCUCAACCGCGGAACUGCAUUUGAAACUGUUUUUCUUGAGUACCGGAGAGGUCAUCGGAAUUCCUUGUGUAGCGGUGAAAUGCGUAGAUAUAAGGAAGAACACCAGUGGCGAAGGCGGAUGACUGGACGGCAACUGACGGUGAGGCGCGAAAGCGUAGGGAGCAAACAGGAUUAGAUACCCGAGUA
rnacentral:rRNA from 1 species